CCUACGGGUGGCAGCAGUGAGGAAUAUUGGUCAAUGGGCGGGAGCCUGAACCAGCCAAGUCGCGUGAGGGAAGACGGUCCUAUGGAUUGUAAACCUCUUUAGGCGGGGAGCAAUGCCGGGCACGCGUGCCCGGAGGGAGAGUACCCGCAGAAUAAGCAUCGGCAAACCCCGUGCCAGCAGCGGCGGUAAUAGGGGGGUUGCAAGCGUUAUCGGGUUUUAUUGGGUUAAAAGGGUGCGUGGGCGGAUUUUUAAGUCGGCGGUAAAAUGUCCGGGCUCAACCCGGGCCGGCCGUUGAAACUGGCGGUCUUGAGUGGGCGAGAAGUAUGCGGAAUGCGUGGUGUAGCGGUGAAAUGCAUAGAUAUCACGCAGAACUCCGAUUGCGAAGGCAGCAUACCGGCGCCCGACUGACGCUGAGGCACGAAAGCGUGGGGAUCGAACAGGAUUAGAUACCCCAGUAGUC
rnacentral:rRNA from 1 species